CUCGUUUUACUGUGGAUAUAGAUACUUUGUACCUGUUUCCUCCAGCAUCUUCACAAGGUCCUUUGCUGUUGUUCUGGGAUUGAUUUGCACAUUUCGCACCAAAGUAUGUUCAUCUCUAGGAGACAGAAUGCGUCUCCUUCCUGAGCAGUAUGACGGCUGCGUGGUCCCAUGGUGUUGAUACUUGCAUACUAUUGUUUGUACAGAUGAACGUGGUACCUUCAGGCGUUUGGAAAUUGCUCCCAAGGAUGAACCAGACUUGUGGAUGUCUACAAUCUUUUUUCUGAGGUGUUGGCUGAUUUCUUUGGAUUUUCCCAUGAUGUCAAGCAAAGAGGCACUGAGUUUGAAGUUAAGACCAAGCCUAUGAACAACAGUGAGACUGACUAACACAGGCAGCAGCACUGGACAGCCAUGCAGGCGAUUCUCCAAGGAAUCAUCUUUUAUGCAGCGCUGGAGCUGAAAUGGACAAUAAAACUCAUCCUUUGUUGCUGUAUUGAAUAAUAAAAUUGUCAUGCA
rnacentral:lncRNA from 1 species